rnacentral:misc_RNA from 1 species
AAGGAUCAUUAAUGAAUAAACUCGGUGGAUUGUUGCUGGCUCCUAGGAGCAUGUGCACAUCUGCCAUUGUUUCAUUCUUUCUCCACCUGUGCACCUUUUGUAGGCUUGGAUACCUCUCAAGGAAUAUACAUUCCUUGGAUUUAAGGAUUGUGUUUUAACAUACACUUUCCUUUGCAUUUCCAGUCUAUGUUUAUAUAUCUACACCCCAUUAGUAUGUUUUAGAAUGUUUAUAUUUGGCCUUUGAUAGGCUUUAAAAUCUUAUACAACUUUCAACAACGGAUCUCUUGGCUCUC